UUUCUCUCACCUCUCCCUACCUCUUCCCUUCUUUUUCCGGUGAACCACCACUGCCGGCGACACCCACCAACACGGCACAACUCCGGCGACCCUCCAGCGGCGGCCAGAACCACCAGAAACGGCGGCAAGAGAGGGAGAAGAGAGAGAAAAUGUGCGCACAGUGGGCAGCGUCUUUUCGGGCCGAUUCCGGCUUCGUCCGACGUCCAAUCGAGGUGAUUCAGGUGGCGUUGGAAAGCUUGUUCUGAGAGUUUUCUUUUGAUACCAAUUUUGCAGCAAAUGGAGGUCGGAUGAGUGAGAUAUGAAGGAGAGAAAUUUUGGAUUUUUCAAGCUUUUGGGUCAGAUCUAGGACGAUACGACCAUUGGAUCGACAAUCCGAGACCACCUAUGGACUGAGGAAGAGGAGAGGAACAUGAUGGUGAUCGAGAUCAGCUAUUUUUCUGCAUCCAGCAGCCACAAUAGUCAUCGGUGUACUGCUACAGGAGGAGACCUUUUUCAGAAUAACCUGUCCCUUUCCUCGCAGGUUAUGAAAAGAUUACUUAAUUGUAUUAUUAUUCUCUAAAUUUAUAAUUAGGACUCCACAUGUACUAGUAGUAGCAUUAAUUCUAUUAUGGAUUACAGGAAUUUAAGUUUUUGUAUUAAUAAAUGAAAAAAAAAAAUUUCAUGAGUUUUGAAUAGUUUGUAAAUGAUGUAACAGGAUUGAGUUGGCCUCCCCUAAUUUUAGU